GAGAAGAAGGCCCAAGACAGCUCGCUCAGGGCUCAGGAGCUGGAGAGGGAAAUCUCUGAAUUGAGAAGGGAAAACUCUGACCUGAGAAGGGAAAACUCCUCUGAGCUGAGAAGGGAAGUUGCCCACCUGAAACAGAGAUUGGAUGCAAUCUGCAGACGGAGGCAGGCAGAGGAAUACAUGAGGCAGGAGCCCACCCCAGGAGGACCGUACAGGCUGCACCCUCCCCUGAGAGGUAAGGAGCGCACUGUGAAGUGCGGCAGCUCCAUUUCUGCAGCAGGAGCCGCCCAGUGGGCUGCUUGUCCCCAUGGGUAGUUGUCGGGUUUCCUGGACACCACACCACACACUCACUGUGGGGAACAGGUUCACAGCUGGGUGACAAGAUGCUGUUUUCUUUACAUGCCACCAGCCAGCAGGGCUCUGUCCCCUGUGAGCGGUGGA